CUCAACAGGCCACCGUGACGGAGGAGCUGGGCCGCACACAGGCUGCUGGGAGGCAGGCAGGGACUUGGUCCCGGGAGGCCGCCGUGAGGCGAGAGCUGGGCCUGGAGACGCCCCUGGGAGGCAAGAGCGGGGCCUGCAGAGGCUGUUCUCCAGCCAGACCUGGGCCUGUACAGGCCACCGGGAGGCAGGAGGUGGGACUGAGGAGCUUCGCUGGAGAAAGUUCAGGGUCUACAAAAGCCGGCGGGAGCUGGGCAGGAGCUGAGCCAAAAGAGCUUGCUUGCUGGGAGGCCGGAGCUGGGCCUGGAGAGGCUGACUUCAGGACCACUUGGGCCUGCAGAGGCCGCCGGGAGGCCCAAGCUGGGCCUGGAGAAGCCCACCGACCGGAGGCCGUUUGGGGCCUGGAGACGCCGUCGGAGGGCAGGAGCUGAGCCUGGAGAGGCCACCGUGAGGCCUGAGCUGGGCCUGGGGAGCUUGGCUUGAGGAAGCUGUGGGCCGACCAAGGCCACCACGAGCUGGGCAGGCACUGAGUCCAAAGAGGUUGUUGGGAGGCAGGAGCCGGGCCUGCAGACGGAGCCGGGAGGAAGAGCUGGGCCCGGAGAGGACGCCGGGAGGCUGCAAGUGGGUCUGGAGAGGCCGACUUGAGGAGCUUCUGGGCCCGGAGAGGCCGCCGGACGGGAAAAACUGGGCUGGGAAAGGCCGUUGUGAGGAAUGAGCCCCAUGGGCCUGAGGAGGCCACUGGCAGGCGGGAGCUGGGCCUGCCGAAGCGGCGGAGAGGCCGGAGCUUUGGACUCGGGAGGCCGCAGGCGAGAGCGAGCUGGGCGUGGAGAGUCCGCUGUGAGGCAGAGGCUGGGCCUGUGCAAGCUUUCGGGAGGCAGGAGGCCAGGCCUGCAGAGGCCGACUGGAGGUCAAGUUCGGGGCCUGCAGAGGCCGCGGAAAGUCAGAAGCGGGGCCUGGGAAGGCCGCCGGGAGGCAUGAGCUGGGCUGGGCUGAAAGAGGCCACUGGGAGACAGGAGGAGCUGG
rnacentral:lncRNA from 1 species